rnacentral:lncRNA from 1 species
UAAUCUAUAAAAAUUGUUUUCAAUAUUUUCGUUGACUUGUGGUUUUGCGUACACGUUUGGAUGUAAAGUCAUCUUUCGUCGGUGUCAAGGGUAAAUGGUUAUACCUGCCGGUAUAAUAUUCCAGGGAAAGUAAGAAGUGGAAAUAGAAGAAAGAGUAAGUGAAUUCCAAAAAAAAAAAGAAAUAUAAGUUUGUUAAUAGUGAAAUCUUAAAAUAAAUGUUGACAAAAAAAAUCUUAAAAUAAAUAAAAACAUAUAUAUUCUGAGGUUGACAGAAAUGAGUCCGCAAACCAAUAUCAUCGAGAUAAAAAGGUUCAUAUAUUUUCUGUUAAUUCUAAAAUAUGAUAAAGAAAGUCAAAUUAAUAUGUAUAUGUAGAAAACUAAAAUUUAUAAAUUAUCUGGUACAAAUCGGUUCUAGGUAAAACCACAAGCUAAUCUAAUGUGUAAAACACAUCAUGAUAUAUAAUAUUUUAAGGAAUGCAGUUAAGUUUCAACUCUUGAGAUGAUUUUGAUGGUGAACAGGUAGACUCGAAAAUCUUAAGAGAAAUAUCACAUCAUAGUUUUAGAAACGUUUUUAUCACAAAUACAGCAUAUAAUACUCAAAAAGACCAAAAUAAAUUUAGGGAAAAUUUUACUUAUACACUUUUCAUGAUACCACUUUUCACUUAUACCACCACUCAAAGGAUAUUUUCAUAAAUAGCAUAUUCAUUAAUUGGUAAAAGACUAAACUAACCUUAUCUUUACUUCAAUCUAUCGUCUCCUUCUUCUCCACCGUCGUGAUCCUUCUUCUCUCUCCUUUCGGAUCCACCGUCUCUCUCUCUGUCGGAUCCACCGUCUCUCUCUCCGUCAGAUCCGCUGUCUCUCUUUCCGAGAUCCAUCGUCUCUCUCCCUGUGGAGAUCGUUCUUCUCUCUCCGUUGAGAUCUGUCGUCAUCUCCGACGAGAUCCAUCGCCGUCUCCGUUGAGUUCCAUCGUCACUCUCUCACACGCAUCUAGCGAUAAGCAAUUACG